CAGCAGCCACGGUAAUGCGAAGGGUGCAAGCGUUAAUCGGAAUUACUGGGCGUAAAGCGUGCGUAGGCGGUUUGUUAAGUCUGUUGUGAAAGCCCUGGGCUCAACCUGGGAAUUGCAUUUGUGACUGGCAAGCUAGAGUGUGGCAGAGGGGGGUGGAAUUCCGCGUGUAGCAGUGAAAUGCGCAGAUAUGCGGAGGAACACCGAUGGCGAAGGCAGCCCCCUGGGCCAACACUGACGCUCAUGCACGAAAGCGUGGGGAGCAAACAGGAUUAGAUACCCGCGUAGUCCCUGUCUCUUAUAC
rnacentral:rRNA from 1 species